AUUGAACGCUGGCGGCAUGCCUUACACAUGCAAGUCGAACGGCAGCACGGGAGCAAUCCUGGUGGCGAGUGGCGAACGGGUGAGUAAUAUAUCGGAACGUGCCCAGUCGUGGGGAUAACGUAGCGAAAGCUACGCUAAUACCGCAUACGAUCUAUGGAUGAAAGCGGGGGAUCGCAAGACCUCGCGCGAUUGGAGCGGCCGAUAUCAGAUUAGGUAGUUGGUGAGGUAAAGGCUCACCAAGCCGACGAUCUGUAGCUGGUCUGAGAGGACGACCAGCCACACUGGGACUGAGACACGGCCCAGACUCCUACGGGAGGCAGCAGUGGGGGAAUUUUUAGGACGAAUGGGCGCAAGCCUGAUCCAGCAAUGCCGCGUGCAGGAUGAAGG
rnacentral:rRNA from 1 species